GCGGGCGUCGCCAAGUGGUAAGGCAUCAGCCUUCCAAGCUGACAUUCGCCGGUUCGAGUCCGGUCGCCCGCU
rnacentral:tRNA from 1 species